CACUGAACCUUCGGGGGACGUGAACGGCGUCGAGCGGCGGACGGGUGAGUAAUGCCUGGGAAAUUGCCCUGAUGUGGGGGAUAACCAUUGGAAACGAUGGCUAAUACCGCAUAAUAGCUUCGGCUCAAAGAGGGGGACCUUCGGGCCUCUCGCGUCAGGAUAUGCCCAGGUGGGAUUAGCUAGUUGGUGAGGUAAGGGCUCACCAAGGCAACGAUCCCUAGCUGGUCUGAGAGGAUGAUCAGCCACACUGGAACUGAGACACGGUCCAGACUCCUACGGGAGGCAGCAGUGGGGAAUAUUGCACAAUGGGCGCAAGCCUGAUGCAGCCAUGCCGCGUGUAUGAAGAAGGCCUUCGGGUUGUAAAGUACUUUCAGCAGUGAGGAAGGUUCAUGCGUUAAUAGCGUAUGGAUUUGACGUUAGCUGCAGAAGAAGCACCGGCUAACUCCGUGCCAGCAGCCGCGGUAAUACGGAGGGUGCGAGCGUUAAUCGGAAUUACUGGGCGUAAAGCGCAUGCAGGUGGUUUGUUAAGUCAGAUGUGAAAGCCCGGGGCUCAACCUCGGAAUUGCAUUUGAAACUGGCAGACUAGAGUACUGUAGAGGGGGGUAGAAUUUC
rnacentral:rRNA from 1 species